rnacentral:rRNA from 1 species
AACAAACGCUGGCGGCGUGCCUAAUACAUGCAAGUCGAACGGUGAAAGUAGCAAGAGGAGUACUAGGGGCGCACGGGUGAGGAACGCGGGGAGAAUCCGGCCUGAAGAGGGGGAUAACGAGUCGAAAGAUGAGCCAAUACCGCAUAAGACCACAAGAACUGAGGGUCAAGGGGUCAAAGGUCUUUCGCUUCAAGAUGAGUCCGCGUAAGAUUAGCUAGUUGGUGAGGUAAUGGCUCACCAAGGCAACGAUCUGUAACUGGUCUGAGAGGAUGAUCAGUCACGGUGGUGCUGAGAGACCGUCCCGCCUCCUACGGGAGGCAGCAGUAAAGAAUAUUGCACGAUGGCGGACCCUCUGAUGCAGCGCCGCGGCCUGGAUGAUGACCGCCUUCGGGUCGUACAGCUCUGUCGCAGACGAAUCACUCAGUGACUGUACCCUGUGAGAAAGCACCGGCUAACUUCGUG